rnacentral:lncRNA from 15 species
GCACGAGUCAGCUGUAAAGGAAGGAAAACAGUGCAGCUGACGUGCUCCAGUGAUGCUCACCCUCCUGCCAGCAGCUAUGAGUGGUACAAUGAAACUGGUGCUCAACUGCAUCAGGGAAACGUCUUCAGGCUGCCAAAUGUCUCCAGACACCACUCAGGCACCUUGUACUGUACUGCCAUCAAUGAAGUAGGACGAGGCAAUUCAAGCCUUGUGCAGCUCAAUGUGUUAUAUGCUCCUGAGAUUAAGGCUAUAUCCUCCUGCUCCUCAGAGGGAGAUAUGGUAAAGUGUGUGUGCAUUGUUGAGUCCAGGCCUCCCAGCAUGGUCCACUUUGUGCUUUCUGACAGAGUCCUGCCAAGCACCAAGGUAGAGAAACAUGACUCUGUUACCAUCGGGACUCUGCAAGCAGAGCUGGGAUCUUCUGCGUUUGUCCUCUGUCUGGCAAACAAUACGCAGGGCAAUGCCAACGUCACACUCUUUUUACCUGUUAACAGUAAGGAGGUUUUACCAUUUAAAGAAAGCAUGAUAUGUGCAUGACAUAGGCCUAUAUAAAGAAUGUUGGCAUGAAUUGUAUACUGAGAAAGAGAAAAAUGACACCACGUGGUUCCUGUUUGGACAGGUAGGAUGCAGAGUCUUUAUAUUAUCAUCGCCAUUGGAGCAGGUGCAAUUUUGGUGAUACUUUUAACAGCAGUGGGAGUUGUUAAAAAAUGGUAAGUUGAUAUUCAAAGUGUUUCUGUUUGUCUUUUCAGUUUCUUUUUUUACUAUAGCAUUCAAAUCUGGGUGAUAUAGGACAUUUAAAGUGUGAAUUUUUAAAAAUGCAGUGGUAAACAGACACCAGAAAGGAAUAUAUAGGCCUACUGUACAUUGAAGUCGUGCAUGUGGAGGUAUUUGGUGGAAAUGUGUCUAAUAAUAAUAGUACAACUACAUCACUUUGAUGGGUGCAGAAAGUCAGCUUGCAAAUGUAUAAAGGGUAUGAUAGCAUGUGUUCAAUGCUGCAGUUUGCAUGGUUGGGUUUCAGUGGUUGUGCAAAGUGUCAAUAGCUCUUUUCAGAGUCCUAAAUUCAAAAACGUCACUCUGCCAGUAGGGGGAGAUCUGGAGAGGAACCAACAUCGCACAUGAAAACCAUGCAGGCAGAAAAAGAUGUGGAGCUCUCUCAGUAUGCUGCAACAAAAAGGUUUUAGUUGUUCACCUCAGUUUAAAAGAAAGUUUGCCCAUGAUGUUAAAUGACACAAGGAAGCUGAUAUUGCAUAACCUUGUGUGUGUUUAGGCGGUACAUUUGUUAAACAUGUUUGUUUUCUGCGUUCUGUCCUCACAAAAGAGAACUAUGAUGAUGUGCAUUGCCCUGGCAUUUAUGCCAAUGAUCCUGUAUAUGGCAACAUGGAGGUAUAUAAAGAUUUCUUCAUUCAUUCAUUAUUAUUUCCAUGCAUGAAAAAACAGGAUGAGUUAAUCAUGUUUCCUUUACAGGCUGACGAUGAUGCAGUAUACGCCAACAUGUAACAUCGUUGAAUUCAGUGGAGGAACAGCUUCAGUCCCUCUGCAUGUUGUCUAACUGAUGUUGGUCAAGAAAAUUGUUAAAAAUAUUGCUUUUUUUCUGUAUAUAAUAUAUUACAUUAUUUUUCUGUCUCUUGUGAUUCACAUAGAAUGUUAUUCAUGGCUAAAAAUAGCAGUAAUAGAAUUAAUGCAACAGUUUCCAUCUAUCAUUUUGAGUUGUGACAACAUAGAAUGAGUUUAUUAUUUAACCAAUGAACUAUAUUAAGUAAGGUGACUUAGCUUUUUCUCUACAAUGAAAGGUAUUUUUAAUUACCACCUACUUAAUAAUUGGUAGCAUAAAACGUUUUUUAUCUAAAAGGCAUUUUAAGUGUCAUGUACUUAAUAACUUCAAUGAUGGUUUUUAAGUUGACACACACUUUUUAAUUUUGUUUAUGUAAGAAAUUAAUUAAUUUGAUAAAAAAAAACUGUUUGUAUUGUGUAUGUGUUAUUUUGAACUGCAGUUUAACAGUGUUUGAACACACAAUAUUUAAAACUUGGAAAACAAUAACAACACAAAUUUAAAUUGUCCCAUACAUGGCCACCAAUCUUCUCAAGGUCCUGCAGUCUUUUUUACACAUUAUAGGAAAGACUUUUCAGAUAAAUUUGACAAAAACUGUAACAAACAGCAACAGACUGUCACUAUCAAUGUACAUUUAAGUUCCAAUAGCUCAGAUUCACGUCAGCAAAGCACAGCACUUUGGGAUAUCCUUGCCCUCCAGGAUUUUGGUUCCCUCGACCUCACGAUUCUGGGUGGCAGCACUGAUGGCGGCAGUUUUCAUCAGUUGUCUAUUGAGGCCUGCCUCAAACGCUUCUGUGUCCCUGUAUAGCAAAUUAAAAGAAAACAUUUGAUUUUGAUUUGAUUUGUUAAUACAUUGAAAGUAUUUUCCCAUGCCAUUGCUGUCAACGCCUAUCUGAACAGACCAUUGUUAUGAUAUUACAGAUUGGGGUGGGCCCUGAAGUGCAAUAUACGUCUGGUCACACGCUUUAAUUGACAAGAAGCAGAUUUCUGCCCUGUGUAUUUACACUGCCCAAUGUGGAUUUCAUUUUCUUUCAAAAUGUUGAAUUGCUUACUCUAAACUCCUUGAGAACAGUCCUCUUCCUUUUCUCCAAUUUUUGAAUUGGUGACUGUCAACAAAGAUAAGCCUAAUAAUUUCCAUACCUAGAGAAGCAUGUCUUUUAUAUGUACAAUUGUCACUCCUGUAGCUCCUGUCCUUGAUGAGACUACAUCCAUCAUUUUUGAUGUGCAAUGGUCAAGUUUGGCCAUUUUCAUUGGAAUUCUUUAUUUAUCUGUAGACCACACAAAUGGAAGAAUUCAGUCUUGCUGACAAUUAGCUAUACUGCAUCAAUUAAUACUAAAACACAUGAGUUAAAGAGGAACAACUCAUCAACCUAUGUGAACUCUGACAUACAGUGGUUAAAUAAGCAGGGCAUUGAAAUGAGUCUUAACUGUCUGAAUUUGCCCAGGCAUGUGAUGUGGGUAGGGGAGGGGACUUGAAGUGGAGAAAAAUUAAGUUAUCAAGCAAAUUUUAUUUAGUUGUUACAACUUGACUUUUGUUUUAAACCAGUUGACGCAGAAAUGUUAGUUAAAAUUACAACAUUAUUACCAACAUUAUUAUAUCAGCAGAACUAAUAAAACAUUUUUUGCAACUUAAAGGUCUAAAUCAAUAUAUUCAACCUUAUAGCCGCAACAACAACAGCUGCUUCCGCCAGA